ACGUUCUUGUGUUAUUUGCUGGUAGUUAUAGCCAAAGCCAGUGAUUGUCAAACAGAACGUAUAGCAAAAACCAGGCAGCUAAUCACUCCAUAAUGUUGAGCCGACUUGCCAGGGCUUCUGCAUUACUAAAUGUAUGCCACAUUC